GCAGCAUGGUCUUAGCUUGCUAAGGCCGAUGGCGACCGGCGCACGGGUGAGUAACACGUAUCCAACCUGCCGUCUACUCUUGGACAGCCUUCUGAAAGGAAGAUUAAUACAAGAUGGCAUCAUGAGUCCACAUGUUCACAUGAUUAAAGGUAUUCCGGUAGACGAUGGGGAUGCGUUCCAUUAGAUAGUAGGCGGGGUAACGGCCCACCUAGUCUUCGAUGGAUAGGGGUUCUGAGAGGAAGGUCCCCCACAUUGGAACUGAGACACGGUCCAAACUCCUACGGGAGGCAGCAGUGAGGAAUAUUGGUCAAUGGGCGAGAGCCUGAACCAGCCAAGUAGCGUGAAGGAUGACUGCCCUAUGGGUUGUAAACUUCUUUUAUAAAGGAAUAAAGUCGGGUAUGCAUACCCGUUUGCAUGUACUUUAUGAAUAAGGAUCGGCUAACUCCGUGCCAGCAGCCGCGGUAAUACGGAGGAUCCGAGCGUUAUCCGGAUUUAUUGGGUUUAAAGGGAGCGUAGAUGGAUGUUUAAGUCAGUUGUGAAAGUUUGCGGCUCAACCGUAAAAUUGCAGUUGAUACUGGAUAUCUUGAGUGCAGUUGAGGCAGGCGGAAUUCGUGGUGUAGCGGUGAAAUGCUUAGAUAUCACGAAGAACUCCGAUUGCGAAGGCAGCCUGCUAAG
rnacentral:rRNA from 1 species